UUGACCUCGGAUCAGGUAGGACUACCCGCUGAACUUAAGCAUAUCAAUAAGCGGAGGAAAAGAAACCAACAGGGAUUGCCCCAGUAACGGCGAGUGAAGCGGCAACAGCUCAGAUUUGGAAUCUGGCCCCCAGGGCCCGAGUUGUAAUCUGGAGAGGAUGCUUCUGGCGCGGCGCCUUCCGAGUUCCCUGGAACGGGACGCCGGAGAGGGUGAGAGCCCCGUACGGUUGGACGCCUAGCCUUUGUGAAGCUCCUUCGACGAGUCGAGUAGUUUGGGAAUGCUGCUCAAAAUGGGAGGUAAAUUUCUUCUAAAGCUAAAUACCGGCCAGAGACCGAUAGCGCACAAGUAGAGUGAUCGAAAGAUGAAAAGCACUUUGAAAAGAGGGUCAAACAGUACGUGAAAUUGUUGAAAGGGAAGCGCCCGUGGCCAGACUUGUGCCCCGCGGACCACCCGGCGCCCUCAGCGCCGGUGCACUCCGCGGGGCGCAGGCCAGCAUCGGUUUUCCUAGGGGGAUAAAGGCGGCGGGAACGUGGCUCCCUCGGGAGUGUUAUAGCCCGCCGCGCCAUGCCCCUGGGGGGACCGAGGACCGCGCUUCGGCAAGGAUGCUGGCGUA
rnacentral:rRNA from 2 species